rnacentral:rRNA from 1 species
UACGUAGGGUGCGAGCGUUAAUCGGAAUUACUGGGCGUAAAGGGUGCGCAGGCGGUCCUGCAAGUCAGGCGUGAAAUCCCCGGGCUUAACCUGGGAAUGGCACUUGAAACUACGGGACUGGAGUAUGGCAGAGGGAGGUGGAAUUCCACGUGUAGCGGUGAAAUGCGUAGAGAUGUGGAGGAACACCGAUGGCGAAGGCAGCCUCCUGGGCCAAUACUGACGCUCAAGCACGAAAGCGUGGGGAGCAAACAGG